rnacentral:rRNA from 1 species
CCUACGGGAGGCAGCAGUGGGGAAUAUUGCGCAAUGGGCGAAAGCCUGACGCAGCGACACCGCGUGAGGGAUGAAGGUCUUCGGAUCGUAAACCUCUGUCAGCAGGGAAGAACGGUCACUGUGCUAAUCAGCAGUGAAUUGACGGUACCUGCAAAGGAAGCACCGGCUAACUCCGUGCCAGCAGCCGCGGUAAUACGGAGGGUGCGAGCGUUAAUCGGAAUUACUGGGCGUAAAGCGCUCGUAGGCGGUAUGUCAAGUCAAGGGUGAAAUCCCCGCGCUGAACGUGGGAACUGCCUUUGAAACUGGCAAACUGGAGUGUGUGAGAGGCUAGUGGAAUUCCAGGUGUAGGAGUGAAAUGCGUAGAUAUCUGGAGGAACAUCAGUGGCGAAGGCGACUAUCUGGCACAUAACUGACGCUGAGGAGCGAAAGCGUGGGUAGCAAACAGGAUUAGAUACCCCUGUAGUC